CCCCUCACUGUCACUCGGUCUGUUCUGGUCCUGCUCUGCUCUGCUCCUUUUGACCCAUUUUCGUGCCCAUAUGCGAGAAAUGGAGUCCCAAAACCCACCUUCAAAGAUUGCACGUCUUGCAUAUUCUGGUAUUGGACAGACAGGUUGUUUGAACAUGGAGAGACAUGGAUCCAGCGGGGGUUCCUCAGGUUCACCUCCAAUAGGGUUAGGACUUGCGCUUGGAAGUGGUGGGUCGACUGAUCACAGCCCGAUACCAAUCCCCGACUGCACAAAAUCUUACGGCUUCACCAUUCUUCAACUGCAAGAGCUAGAACUCCAGUCUAUUAUCUACAAGUACAUAGAAUCUGGAUUCCCAGUCCCCUACCAUCUUGUUCUUCCUAUAUGGAAGAGUGUUUCUAGCUAUCUCAGCGGUCUCAACUCAAGCUUAUAUCAACUCUACCCUUCCUUCAUGGGAGGUAACAUCCCAUUGCAUAUGGACUACAGAAAUGUGAUGGACCCGGAGCCAGGGAGAUGUAGAAGAACAGAUGGGAAGAAAUGGAGGUGCAGCAAAGAGGCUCUCCCAGAUCAGAAGUACUGUGAGAGGCACAUGCAUAGAGGGCGUCAGCGUUCAAGAAAGCUUGUGGAACCUACUUCUUCUCAAGCCAUUAGUGCGACCACCAACCUCUCCAUUUCACUUCCAUUCUCAAAUGAUCCAUCAAAUGGAGAAGUUGGAUUGAGGCCGUAG
rnacentral:misc_RNA from 1 species